GAUGAAGAACGUAGCGAAAUGCGAUAAGUAGUGUGAAUUGCAGAAUUCAGUGAAUCAUCGAAUCUUUGAACGCACAUUGCGCCCCUUGGUAUUCCAUGGGGCAUGCCCGUUCGAGCGUCAUUUGUACCUUCAAGCUCUGCUUGGUGUUGGGUGUUUGUCUCGCCUCUGCGUGUAGACUCGCCUCAAAACAAUUGGCAGCCGGCGUAUUGAUUUCGGAGCGCAGUACAUCUCGCGCUUUGCACUCAUAACGACGACGUCCAAAAGUACAUUUUUACACUCUUGACCUCGGAUCAGGUAGGGAUACCCGCUGAACUUAAGCAUAUCAAUAAGCGGAGGA
rnacentral:misc_RNA from 1 species